rnacentral:rRNA from 1 species
UACGUAGGGUCCGAGCGUUGUCCGGAAUUAUUGGGCGUAAAGAGCUCGUAGGCGGUUUGUCGCGUCUGCUGUGAAAUCCCGAGGCUCAACCUCGGGCCUGCAGUGGGUACGGGCAGACUGGAGUGCGGUAGGGGAGAAUGGAAUUCCUGGUGUAGCGGUGGAAUGCGCAGAUAUCAGGAGGAACACCGAUGGCGAAGGCAGUUCUCUGGGACGGUACUGACGCUGAGACGCGAAAGCGUGGGGAGCGAACAGG